GCGCCUCUUCGAUGAUGGGCGACGUUCACUGCGUGUCGGUCUGUAGCGAGUGCCUUUCUGUUAAACUAUACAGAUGAAGCAGUGCAGCGCCAGUAAGAGUUGUAUGAGGGAGCGAUGGCAGAAAUCAAGUAAGGCCAGAUGUGCACACGAUGUCUUCAUGACCGAGUGCUGACCUUUGGUCUGUUUGCAACCAGAGUUUGAUAUGUCAGCAGAGUUCGUGUUGGGAGUAAACAAAAGUAUACUGACUAGCUG
rnacentral:lncRNA from 1 species